UCUCUCCUCCCAGCCCUAGCCUGUCCUCUCUCCUCCAGCCCUAGCCUGCCCUCUCCCCUGUCUUCUCUCCUCCCAGCCCUAGCCUGUCCUCUCUCCUCCAGCCCUAGCCUGUCCUCUCUCUCCCAUCCCUAGCCUGUCCUCUCUCUCCCCAGCCAUAGCCUGUCCUCUCUCCGCCCAGCCGUAGCCUGCCCUCUCCGCUGUCUUCUCUCUCCCCAGCCGUAGCCUGUCCUCUCUCCUCCUAGCCGUAGCCUGUCCUCUCUCCUCCCAGCCGUAGCCUGUCCUCUCUCCUCCUAGCCGUAGCCUGUCCUCUCUCCUCCCAGCCGUAGCCUGUCCUCUCUCCUCCCAGCCGUAGCCUGUCCUCUCUCCUCCCAGCCGUAGCCUGUCCUCUCUCCUCCCAGCCGUAGCCUGUCCACUCCCCUGUCCUCUCUCAUUCCCAGCCGUAGCCUGCCCUCGCUCCUCCCAGCCGUAGCCUGCCCUCUCUCCUCCCAGCCGUAGCCUGCCCCCUCUCCUCCCAGCCGUAGCCUGCCCUCUCUCCUCCCAGCCGUAGCCUGCCCUCUCUCCUGCCCUCUCUCCCCAGCCGUAGCCUGCCCUCUCCUUGGUCUACCAGUUAAGACACAGACAGAAUGGUUAUAGUAUUAAUUUGACUAGUUAUCUAAGUUACCUCUACAGGGCUUCAAUCCGGACCCAGUGCUCAUUGGCCAGAGCAGUGUGUGUGACUGUGUGUGUCUGUGACUGUGUGUGACUGUGUGUGUGUGUGUGUGUGUGUGUGUGUGUGUGUGUGUGUGUGUGUGUGUGUGUGUGUGUAUGUGACUGUGUGUGUGUGUGUAUAUGUGUGCCUGUGUGUGACUGUGUGUGUGUGACUGUGUGUGUGUGUUUGUGUGUGCCUGUGUGUGUGUGUGUGUGUGUGUGUGUGUGUGUGUGCCUGUGUCUGUGUGUCUGUGACUGUGUGUCUGUGACUGUGUGUGACUGUGUGUGUGCGUGCCUGUGUGUGCCUGUGUGUGUGUGUGUGUGUGUGUGUGUGUGUGUGUGUGUGUGUGUGUGUGUGUGUGUGUGUGUGUGUGUGUGUGUGUGUGUGUGUGUGUGUGGUGGUCCAGAUCAGAUGUGAUGUUAUGCAACUUUAUGAAAACACCUAAUUUCACCAAACAGUACCCUAGAGGACUCUGGGAAAAAUGUUCCUGAUAACAAACAGUUUAUCUAACGGCAACACAAACACACUCUCUCCAAAAAACAUCACACACUAUCCUUUACAUGCACUCCAAAAACAACACACACACACACCAAAAACAACACACACACACACACACACACACACCAAAAACAACACACACACACACUCUCUGGAGAGUGACUGCCCCACAAGACAACAUCUAUUUUGCGUGAGAAAGUCUGCUCGGGACGAAAUAGAAAAACAGAGUUUAAAAAUGUCCUGGAGUGAAAGGAAAGGAAUGGUCAGAAUGUUGUAUAUUAGAGACUUUCACAUUAGUUCCAACAGAAGACUGGGUGGUUAAGGUUUGGCAUUGACUCUAUGUGGUUAAGGUUAGGCAUUGACUCCACGUGGUUAAGGUUAGGCAUUGACUCCACGUGGUUAAGGUUAGGCAUUGACUCUACGUGGUUAAGGUUAGGCAUUGACUCUACGUGGUUAAGGUUAGGCAUUGACUCUACGUGGUUAAGGUUAGGCAUUGACUCUACGUGGUUAAGGUUAGGCAUUGACUCUACGUGGUUAAGGUUAGGCAUUGACUCUACGUGGUUAAGGUUAGGCAUUGACUCUACGUGGUUAAGGUUAGGCAUUGACUCUACGUGGUUAAGGUUAGGCAUUGACUCUACGUGGUUAAGGUUAGGCAUUGACUCUACGUGGUUAAGGUUAGGCAUUGACUCUACGUGGUUAAGGUUAGGCAUUGACUCUACGUGGUUAAGGUUAGGCAUUGACUCUACGUGGUUAAGGUUAGGCAUUGACUCUACGUGGUUAAGGUUAGGCAUUGAUUCUACGUGGUUAAGGUUAGGCAUUGAUUCUACGUGGUUAAGGUUUGGCAUUGACUCUAUGUGGUUAAGGUUAGGCAUUGACUCCACGUGGUUAAGGUUUGGCAUUGACUCCACGUGGUUAAGGUUAGGCAUUGACUCCACGUGGUUAAGGUUUGGCAUUGACUCCACGUGGUUAAGGUUUGGCAUUGACUCCAUGUGGUUAAGGUUUGGCAUUGACUCUAUGUGGUUAAGGUUAGGCAUUGAUUCUACGUGGUUAAGGUUUGGCAUUGACUCUAUGUGGUUAAGGUUUGGCAUUGAUUCUACGUGGUUAAGGUUUGGCAUUGACUCUAUGUGGUUAAGGUUUGGCAUUGACUCUAUGUGGUUAAGGUUUGGCAUUGACUCUAUGUGGUUAAGGUUAGGCAUUGACU